GCCAGGCAUGGUGGUGCAUUCCCGUAAUCCCACCAGCUUGGGAGGCUAAGACAGGAGGAUCGCAAGUUCAAAGCCAGCUUCAGUGACAGUGAGGUGCUAAACAACUCAGUGAGACCCUGUCUCUA
rnacentral:sRNA from 1 species